rnacentral:tRNA from 1 species
GCCUUGCUGGCUCAGUCAGUAGAGCAUGAGACUCUGGAUCUCAGGGUUGUGAGUUUGAGCCCACGUUGGGUG